rnacentral:rRNA from 1 species
ACCACCAGCGUGUGGAGCCUGCGGCUUAAUUUGACUCAACACGGGGAAACUCACCAGGUCCAGACAUAACUAGGAUUGACAGAUUGAUAGCUCUUUCAUGAUUUUAUGGGUGGUGGUGCAUGGCCGUUCUUAGUUGGUGGAGUGAUUUGUCUGGUUAAUUCCGAUAACGAACGAGACCUUAACCUGCUAAAUAGCCAGGCCGGCUUUCGCUGGUCGCCGGCUUCUUAGAGGGACUGUCAGCGUUCUAGCUGAC